AUACGUAGGUGGCGAGCGUUAUCCGGAUUUACUGGGCGUAAAGGGCGUGCAGGCGGUUCGUUAAGUUCGAGGUGAAAGCUCCCGGCUCAACUGGGAGAGGUCCCCGGAUACUGGCGGACUUGAGGGAGGCAGAGGAAAGUGGAAUUCCCGGUGUAGUGGUGAUAUGCGUAGAUAUCGGGAGGAACACCAGUGGCGAAGGCGGCUUUCUGGGCCUUACCUGACGCUGAGACGCGAAAGCGUGGGGAGCGAACCGGAUUAGAUACCCGUGUAGUCC
rnacentral:rRNA from 1 species